GAUGAACGCUGGCGGCGUGCCUAAUACAUGCAAGUCGAGCGAACAGACGAGGAGCUUGCUCCUCUGACGUUAGCGGCGGACGGGUGAGUAACACGUGGAUAACCUACCAAUAAGACUGGGAUAACUUCGGGAAACCGGAGCUAAUACCGGAUAAUAUAUUGAACCGCAUGGUUCAAUAGUGAAAGACGGUUUUGCUGUCACUUAUAGAUGGAUCCGCGCCGCAUUAGCUAGUUGGUAAGGUAACGGCUUACCAAGGCAACGAUGCGUAGCCGACCUGAGAGGGUGAUCGGCCACACUGGAACUGAGACACGGUCCAGACUCCUACGGGAGGCAGCAGUAGGGAAUCUUCCGCAAUGGGCGAAAGCCUGACGGAGCAACGCCGCGUGAGUGAUGAAGGUCUUCGGAUCGUAAAACUCUGUUAUUAGGGAAGAACAAAUGUGUAAGUAACUAUGCACGUCUUGACGGUACCUAAUCAGAAAGCCACGGCUAACUACGUG
rnacentral:rRNA from 1 species